rnacentral:rRNA from 1 species
GAUGAACGCUGGCGGCGUGCCUAAUACAUGCAAGUCGAGCGAACGGACGAGAAGCUUGCUUCUCUGAUGUUAGCGGCGGACGGGUGAGUAACACGUGGAUAACCUACCUAUAAGACUGGGAUAACUUCGGGAAACCGGAUCUAAUACCGGAUGAUAUUUUGAACCGCAUUGUUCAAAAGUGAAAGACGGUCUUGCUGUCACUUAUAGAUGGAUCCGCGCUGCAUUAGCUAGUUGGUAAGGUAACGGCUUACCAAGGCAACGAUGCAUAGCCGACCUGAGAGGGUGAUCGGCCAAACUGGAACUGAGACACGGUCCAGACUCCUACGGGAGGCAGCAGUAGGGAAUCUUCCGCAAAGGGCGAAAGCCUGACGGAGCAACGCCGCGUGAGUGAUGAAGGUCUUCGGAUCGUAAAACUCUGUUAUUAGGGAAGAACAUAUGUGUAAGUAACUGUGCACAUCUUGACGGUACCUAAUCAGAAAGCCACGGCUAACUACGUG